rnacentral:rRNA from 1 species
CCUGUGAGGGUUGCUGGAGGUAUCAGAAGUGCGAAUGCUGACAUAAGUAACGAUAAAGCGGGUGAAAAGCCCGCUCGCCGGAAGACCAAGGGUUCCUGUCCAACGUUAAUCGGGGCAGGGUGAGUCGACCCCUAAGGCGAGGCCGAAAGGCGUAGUCGAUGGGAAACAGGUUAAUAUUCCUGUACUUGGUGUUACUGCGAAGGGGGGACGGAGAAGGCUAUGUUAGCCGGGCGACGGUUGUCCCGGUUUAAGCAUGUAGGCGGAGGUUCCAGGUAAAUCCGGUACCUUUUAACGCUGAGGUGUGAUGACGAGGCACUACGGUGCUGAAGUAACAAAUGCCCUGCUUCCAGGAAAAGCCUCUAAGCAUCAGGUAACAUUAAAUCGUACCCCAAACCGACACAGGUGGUCAGGUAGAGAAUACCAAGGCGCUUGAGAGAACUCGGGUGAAGGAACUAGGCAAAAUGGUGCCGUAACUUCGGGAGAAGGCACGCUGGUGUGUAGGUGAAGUCCCUGCGGAUGGAGCUGAGACCAGUCGAAGAUACCAGCUGGCUGCAACUGUUUAUUAAAAACACAGCACUGUGCAAACACGAAAGUGGACGUAUACGGUGUGACGCCUGCCCGGUGCCGGAAGGUUAAUUGAUGGGGUUAUCCGUAAGGAGAAGCUCUUGAUCGAAGCCCCGGUAAACGGCGGCCGUAACUAUAACGGUCCUAAGGUAGCGAAAUUCCUUGUCGGGUAAGUUCCGACCUGCACGAAUGGCGUAAUGAUGGCCAGGCUGUCUCCACCCGAGACUCAGUGAAAUUGAACUCGCUGUGAAGAUGCAGUGUACCCGCGGCAAGACGGAAAGACCCCGUGAACCUUUACUAUAGCUUGACACUGAACAUUGAGCCUUGAUGUGUAGGAUAGGUGGGAGGCUUUGAAGCGUGGACGCCAGUCUGCGUGGAGCCAACCUUGAAAUACCACCCUUUAAUGUUUGAUGUUCUAACGUAGGCCCCUGACCGGGGUUGCGGACAGUGUCUGGUGGGUAGUUUGACUGGGGCGGUCUCCUCCCAAAGAGUAACGGAGGAGCACGAAGGUUAGCUAAUCCUGGUCGGACAUCAGGAGGUUAGUGCAAUGGCAUAAGCUAGCUUGACUGCGAGCGUGACGGCGCGAGCAGGUGCGAAAGCAGGUCAUAGUGAUCCGGUGGUUCUGAAUGGAAGGGCCAUCGCUCAACGGAUAAAAGGUACUCCGGGGAUAACAGGCUGAUACCGCCCAAGAGUUCAUAUCGACGGCGGUGUUUGGCACCUCGAUGUCGGCUCAUCACAUCCUGGGGCUGAAGUAGGUCCCAAGGGUAUGGCUGUUCGCCAUUUAAAGUGGUACGCGAGCUGGGUUUAGAACGUCGUGAGACAGUUCGGUCCCUAUCUGCCGUGGGCGCUGGAGAAUUGAGGGGGGCUGCUCCUAGUACGAGAGGACCGGAGUGGACGCAUCACUGGUGUUCGGGUUGUCAUGCCAAUGGCACUGCCCGGUAGCUAAAUGCGGAAGAGAUAAGUGCUGAAAGCAUCUAAGCACGAAACUUGCCCCGAGAUGAGUUCUCCCUGAGACUUUAAGUCUCCUGAAGGAACGUUGAAGACGACGACGUUGAUAGGCCGGGUGUGUAAGCGCAGCGAUGCGUUGAGCUAACCGGUACUAAUGAACCGUGAGGCUUAACCUU